rnacentral:lncRNA from 1 species
CUUUGCAAUCAUUUAUUGGAACGAGUUUUUGCCGUCGUCGCCGCUUGCUCUCCCAUGUUGAUCUUUAUAUCUUUUAUGAACUGAAAAAAUCAGCCCCCUUGCUGGGGCUGGCUCGCGUCUGUUUUUACAAGCGAUGUUUUUGUCAACACGCGGACGUCACCCGUAAAGUAAGGAAACUAAAAAAUCUUGUGUUUUGUCGUAUGUGUUGAAGAUUACCACAAACUGAUACAAACACAGUUUUUAAUCCAGUCCCCCCUCGGCAAUCUCACGUCCAUGUUGACAAAAACGUCGCUCGCUAAUAAAUAUAUGAAAUUCCCAGCCCUACUAG